UGCUUGUUGCUGACCAGAGGAGCGCAUGCGUGAAGCUUUUCGUUGAGCCGCCAUUGACUCAGUGAGUGGAAGAGGUUUGUUUGAAACAGGCCGCAAUGGAGAGACCAGCGCCCAGGGAAGCGAAGGAACAGCAGGCUCCUUCCAGCAGCGCAUCGAGAUGCAAUUAUCUGAUGUGUCAAGACAAUGUCACAUUUCCGUGGUGCAACACCAAGUGUGACUAGCUGCUCCUACUAACAGCAGGCAAAUACAUGAAGGACCAAGACAAUGUAUCAUUUCCUUGGUGCAAAGCCAAGUGUGAGCAGCUGCUUCUCACAAACAGCAGUUAUGUUACAGCUGUCAGAAUGGAUCAUUUCCACAGACAAAGAGCAGUUUGAGUCAGAGACACGUUGAACUUAAUUUCCAGAGAAAUGCAUUCAAGCCAACAGUCAAAUACAAGCAACAAAAUACAA